rnacentral:rRNA from 1 species
UACGUAGGGGCCUAGCGUUGUCCGGAAUUAUUGGGCGUAAAGAGCUCGUAGGCGGUUCGGCAAGUCGGAUGUGAAAUCUCCACGCUCAACGUGGAGGGGCCAUUCGAAACUGCCGUGACUCGAGUCCGGUAGGGGAGUGUGGAAUUCCCGGUGUAGCGGUGAAAUGCAUAGAUAUCGUCAAGAACACCGAUAGCGAAGGCAGCUUACUGGGCUGUAACUGACGCUGAGGCACGAAAGUGUGGGGAUCAAACAGG